UGUGUUGCUUACCGACGUGACGGAAUUCGCUCGUAUCGUUGCCUUUUUCCGCCCGAUGCCCGAUACGAAGGGUGUGGGGUGGACGCCAGGCGCGCUGCGUGUUCCUCGCAUGCCUCGCCUUGCCGCGUGGCUGCUGAGGCCCACGGAGCGGUCGCCCGUUCUCUCGGAUGCGGAACGUGAUGCGCGGGUGGGUGCGGGGUCUCGACCUCCGCUCGCCCGAGCCAUGCAUCAGUCCCUUUGACGCGAACGACUGUCGCGGCCGUCUUGAUCGAUCCCUUUGGGGCGGGCACAAGCCUCGAAGGGGGACGUCAUGCGGCCGUCGGCGUCGUCGAGGAAUGCUACCUGGUUGAUCCUGCCAGUAGUCA
rnacentral:misc_RNA from 1 species